AUGGAAUUGGAGGAGGGGGCAGAGACAGCAAUUCGGCCAUAUCCGAAAGGCAUCCAUCCCUUCCACCAUCGUCGCCGACCCGGCCCGGCGGUUUCUCGGAUUCCGCGAAUAUAUCCUAUCCAGCAAAUCCAUCCAUCACCCGGCCAUCCCUCGCCCAUAAAUUGCACGCCCCCGAGACGUUUCUUGCCACCGUGGAGUUCGCCCAGCUCUCUCUCAUCUCUCAUUUCCUUGGCUACGUACUUCUUCCACCUCCCCCUCUCUCCCACGCACCUCUCUCUCAGCGCUUCGGCGAUCGGAGCAAGCCGCUUGUUGGGUUCUUUGCUUGGCAUGCCUAGGUGCACCUCGUCGGUCAAUUACCAAACGGAGACAGCGGCCAUGUCGGAGCUCAUCUGCAACGGCUGCUUCAGCCUGGUGCUCUACAACCGCGGCGCAGCCAACGUACGCUGCUCCCGAUGCAACAUGCUCAACUCCACAAGAUCAGCGAGCCAGUACGCCCACCUGAAGUGCGGUGGCUGCCGGACGACGCUCAUGUACCCGCCGGGGGCCUCCACCGUGGGGUGCGCCACGUGCCACCACGUCAACCCCGUCAGAGCCCAGGGCUCCUCGGCUCCUCCGGAUGCCCAUGCCCGGCCUCAGACAGUUCUCGUGGAGAAUCCCAGGACAAUGAACGACAAGGGCAAACUGGUCAGCAAUGUGGCGGUCGGUGUCACCUCAUGGAAAAGAUGA
rnacentral:rRNA from 1 species